GGAGAGGUGGCCGAGUCCGGUUGAAGGCGACGGUCUCGAAAACCGUUAUGGGUCACUGGCCCAUCGAGAGUUCAGUUCAAAUCUCUCCCUCUCCG
rnacentral:tRNA from 1 species